CACAGCAUCUGCUGCACAGCAGGAAGGGUCACAGCUUGAGGGAGGGAAAUGCAGCUCAGACUGCCUACAGGAGAGGGUAGAAAGCAGUCAUCUCACACAAUGGGCAUGAGUCCAUGAUUGAAGACACUAAAUAGAUCCACCCAAAGCCUGCAGAAGACAGUCUUUCAAAUUACUUCACUGGAGCUGUAUCAAAAUAGUCGCAGGAAGCAAGCACUCAGAGACCCAUCUGUAGGCAAAACUUGGCCCUCAGCAGAAGUAUGAGCAGACCAGAAACCCUCCAAGGCACCAGCAGGGACAUGCUGCACUUAGCUGACCACCUUGAUUCUGUGUCUCUGAAAUACUGUGGAUAAGUAACUAUUUAUGUCACCCUGGGAGAACAGGAAUGUAUGAUAUGGCUAUGUAACCACCUGGACUUUUAUAUAUAAAAACUGUUUUCACUACUUAUGGAAAGCCAGACAUGUAAAUUACACUACCUUUAGCAGGAAAAAAUACGUGCCAAAGACCAUGCCUAGGAGCAGAACUGGGGAAGAAUGGGGGUAUGGUCAUGCCCGUUCUGCAGUGUUUUCUUUUACAAGCCUGUUUUACUGCUGAGGCAGGGGAGACCAGUGUUAUUGCUUCCUCAGAAAGCCAUUCUCACAGGAUUUGACUAUUGGUCAUGAAAAACUUACAAGGUCAGACAAUCCUGCAAUAUUUUAACAAAUUCAGGGUUUAAACGUGUUCCCAAGAUUUUGGUUAUUUCUGUUUAGAAGAUGGAAAGUAAUCCCCUUACAAGUGGGUAUCGUCUGGGAAACUAGAAUGAAAUAGAUGCGAAUCUGGAGAUCUGAAUUUGAUUCCCUUGAAAGUUUACAUAAAGUAGCUUUCAAAGGAUUUAUCUACUUUCAGCAUUUCCAUGGUGGACAGAUAAAGCUAGUACUAUCUGCAUAAAGUACUAUCUGCAUAAAGCUACAUCUGCAUAUUUGGCACGAAAAAAAAAUAAAUGAAAUAGGCUUAGCUUGUUUUCUUGGUGCUGAAGAACUUUCAUUUUGCAAGAAUAAGGAGACACACAGCCACAGCAUCCUUCACCAUUAGAGGUCCCCUUGAGGCUGAUUGUUAGCAUUAGAACAUUAACAAUCUGUGUAUUUAUCAAAAUGUGGACACUAGAGUGGCUUGAAGUAGUUUC
rnacentral:lncRNA from 1 species